rnacentral:rRNA from 1 species
AGAGAUGGAUUGGUGCCUUCGGGAACUCUGACACAGGUGCUGCAUGGCUGUCGUCAGCUCGUGUCGUGAGAGUGUUCGGGUUAAGUCCCGUAACGAGCGCAACCCUUGUCCUUAGUUACCAGCACGUUAUGGUGGGCACUCUAAGGAGACUGCCGGUGACAAACCGGAGGAAGGUGGGGAUGACGUCAAGUCAUCAUGGCCCUUACGGCCUGGGCUACACACGUGCUACAAUGGUCGGUACAAAGGGUUGCCAAGCCGCGAGGGUGGAGCUAAUACCCAUAAAGCCGGUCGUAGUCCGGAUCGCAGUCUGCAACUCGACUGCGUGAAGUCGGAAUCGCUAGUAAUCGCGGAUCAGCAUGUCGCGGUGAAUACGUUCCCGGGUCUU